rnacentral:lncRNA from 1 species
GAAAUAACCAUCAAAUUCAGAAUGCAAAUGGGGAUGGUGUCAAAAAGAAAAAGGACAAUUAUACUGAACUCCGAGGAAAAUUCAAAACGGAAAGUCCGUAAUCAAAUGGAAAAGUUAAAAGCUAAAGUGCAUCAAGCGAAUGAAUAAGACAGUCUAAUAAAUGUCGUACAAAGUGAGAGGUUAAUCGCCAUAAAACCAGGUUCAAUCCACCAUUUUCUACAUUUGAAAAUGCCUGUACCAAGUGAGGAGUACGACGUGGUACAGGCAUGUUUUAAUGAAACAACUCUUUAUUCAAUUCUUAAUUGAUGCAAACUGGAAUUAUAGCUAGCUAAAAUAAAAAAUCAUCUCUACCAAAGAAUAAAAACAACAACAGAAGGCAUCCAAUCGGUCUCAAAGCAGACAGAAAAUCCCGUACCCGGUGGUAGACUUCAACUGACCCCUAAAGAAAAACAUGUGUUUUAGUUCAGUGAAACUGAACGGCAUACUUAAAUCAAAAACAUAUAAAUAACUUAAAUUAAGAAAACGUACAACUCUUACAAAGUUCAGAGCCCCCGAAUUCGGACAGGCGCAAAAAUGCCUGUGCGGUUAAACAUCUUUCGUGUGAUAUCGAGCCCUCUCACUUAUACCUCCAACCAAUGUAGAUUAAACAUACACACAGGAAUACGCACAGUAGAAUUCAGUUAAAAGAAAUCCAAGUCCGAUGUCAGAAUCGGUAACACAAAAAUAUACCUGUACAAUGGUAAAACAUGUACCUUUACCAGAAUUAGUAACACCAGCAAUUCAUUAAAAUCUGGAAGACGUCAAACUAACAGAGCAAUUUUCAAUUGAACAAUAAACAGAUUUACUGGUGUGCAAAAAUGAAAUGCUAUUUAUUUUAAACGUGAUAAUUUUUCGAUAUCUGUCCAGAACAUAAUGAUCGUUUCAUUACUUAUUAUUUAUCUAAAACAGAUAGCAUAACAAGCUGAAACAUUCAACAAAGAACAAGACUUGGUAAUACUUGCAUUAAAUAAAUAAUCAAGAAUGCUAUAUCAAUUUUGCUUCAAGUUGUACAUUUCCAUUAUGUUUCUUAAAAGACACAUACUAAUGCUCACUUUAAAUAAUAAGUAAAAACUAGAUUUGUAAUUGCUAGCAAUAACGGAUGCCACCCUUCCCC